rnacentral:lncRNA from 1 species
UUUUUUUUUUUUUGUAUUUUACUAUCCCAGCCAAAUCAGGGUAUCCACCUUAUUCUAGAUACUUUGAUCAUUCCCCUUUUCGCUCCUAGUGGAAGCCCCAAAGAAACAGUGAGGAACUUUUCCGCCUUACAUCCCAGGAUGUCAGCUAGUUCCUUGACAACAUGAAAAAACCAAAAGCCCCUCUCUAUCUAUCCAAGGGAUGGAAGGGCAGAGGAUCAUCUGCAUUAAUGCUGAAAAUACUGCUCUUUGCCAGAUUAACUUUCAACCAUAACUGCUUCAAAAAUUUCCAGAAUCUCUCUAAGAUAAAGUAUUUGUCCAUAUCUGCUUCAAACAAAAGAAGAGUGUCAUCAGCAUAUAGAAUGUGCGAUAAGGGAACCUAUCAACACAAUUUCUUUGAAAGCUCACGCCUUUUAUCCAACCCAAUUUUUCAGCUUGCUUCUCCAUCAUACUAAAAGCUUCCAUCACUAG